CCUACGGGGGGCAGCAGUGGGGAAUUUUGGACAAUGGGCGCAAGCCUGAUCCAGCUAUUCCGCGUGUGGGAUGAAGGCCCUAUGGGUUGUAAACCUCUUUUGUCGGAGAACAAAACCCGGGACGUGUCCCGGACUGCGUGUAUCCGAAGCAAAAGCAUCGGCUAACUCCGUGCCAGCAGCCGCGGUAAUACGGAGGAUGCGAGCGUUAUCCGGAUUUAUUGGGUUUAAAGGGUGCGUAGGCGGUCCGUUAAGUCAGCGGUAAAAUUGCGGGGCUCAACCCCGUCGAGCCGUUGAAACUGGCAGACUUGAGUUGGCGAGAAGUACGCGGAAUGCGCGGUGUAGCGGUGAAAUGCAUAGAUAUCGCGCAGAACUCCGAUUGCGAAGGCAGCGUACCGGCGCCAGACUGACGCUGAGGCACGAAAGCGUGGGGAUCGAACAGGAUUAGAUACCCUUGUAGUC
rnacentral:rRNA from 1 species